CUUACAUUAUGCAGGCCAUUAUGUGCACAGAUCAAGCUUCCUGAUUUUUCUUUUAGGGUUUAAGAAUAUAGGCUGCUGUGAUUUAGCUGUCCCUUGAGGAGAGUAGCGCAAAUCAAGAAGGCUUAGAAGGGUGUUGUUCCAUUUCAAUUUUCCAGGUAAGAUUUGGCUUUGAAAGUGCUACCUUCUUCCUUGUACUUAACUUUCCCUAAAUCACUUAAAAGCUUUUAUGUUGAGUGAAUGAGCAGAUCUAAAAUAAUGACUUUACUUGAGAUAGCUUCAUGUAAAAUCACUAAAUUGAUUUUCUUCCAGUUUUAAAUUGAAGGGGAAAAAUAAAGAGGUAGAGUUAAUAUUGUCUGUGAGAAUGGAUCUAAUGUUUGUUUCUUCUUGAUUUCAGAGUAGUAGAUUCAUUUCAACAAAGAGGUCGUGUGUUUAAGGUUAAAAUAUUGAUUUUUUUUUUGCUAUAGGAGCAAAUAUCAUUAUUUCUAUUUGGAGGAAAGGUUUCAAAUCUUGUGUGACUGGUUCUGGCAAUGAAAUAUGCUUUAUAUUUUGUGACCUUCUCAAAGAUUGCUUAAUCUUAUACAUAAGUAUAACUUGAUUAUUUGUCUCUCAAAAAAACACACAUUUUUUUAUUAUCUUUUCCUUCUGUUGGCUAUUUUCUUGAUGAUUAAGAUAAAAUCAGGGUUCAUAUACUGAGUGGUGCUCAUAAAAGUUAUGAUACAAACAAACAAAUUUUAAAAGGCUGUCCUUUAUCCUCAGGAAGUAAAACAACAGUUCUUGGUUCAGUUAGUAGGUUCCAGGCUCACAAAUGCUGUGCUCACUGUGGGUAAUACCUGGUGAAACUUGAAAAAAGACUGGGUUGUUUGUCAGGUCAAAUCAUCCUGCUAAUGUUAAGGGAGGCAUUGCUUUCUUAGGCUCAAGCUGAAUGCUGUAAUCCUAUGAAUUUAAAGUUAACAUCACAGAGGCUGGGUACGCUAUAUGUUGAAACAGGUGUUCACAGAUGAAUGUAGCUGAAUGAAGUUAUUGAUCCUUUCUUCAUAUUUUACCUCCUGUCUUGCAUGCUUCUAGUUUUUCUUAGGAACUUAGCUCCUUUAAAAGGAAGAUCACCCAAAUGGAUACAAGUCAGGUCAAAUACUUGUUGUCUCAUUAGGUAAGUUUCCAGUUGUUCAAGGUUUGAAGCCACCUAAGUAUAAAUAUGACUUGUGUAAUGUGAGCCUUCAUUGAUGCUGCAGAGAAAUUAUUUCAGCAUGCCUUUACCUGACAAUAUGAUUUUGGUUUUCCACAAAUGAACCAAGACUUUCAUAUGGAAACUAUUACAUGGAAUAACGUUGAUAAAAUUAUAGUUGAAUAGGAACAUAUAAUCCAUUCAUUUAGUUUUAACUCUAAAAAAGCUAGAGUCUCUUUUAUUGAAUUCUUAUAUAUUCUUAAUGAACUAAAAUCAUCAUAGUAUCAUCAGCUAUCGUAAAUUCAUCACACUAUUUUUUAAUAUGUAGUAGUAAAACUGAAGCAUUUACAUAAAUUGCAUAAUUUGUGAUUACCUAUGCUUGGUGUGACUUACCAAUUUUAGUUUUUUUUAGGACUGUGCACUUGAUUCCAGGUAGGAUGUAAUUAAGCAAUUCCAUUGUAGUUCAUAUUUCUUGCUUCGCCUUGCUCAAAAGUGCUCUUUACUCUGAAUUUGUCCUUUUGAUAUACUGGUGCUUUAGGGCUUAAAAUAUCUAUGCUGGUAAAUGUGUGUUUUGUUUUGUUUUUAAUUUUUUUUUGCAACUGUUAGACCAAGGUGACAUGUGAAUAUAUGGGAUAAAUGGAGUGGAGCAAAAUUCCAGACUGAUACAAUAUCUCAGAGAAAAAUUUCUCAUAUCUACAUAUCUAGCAUAUUAUUUCCUCUUUGAUGGUAUGGCAAAGUGAUUAUGACAUUUUUUUAAAUAACUAUACAGGGAAUAUUUACUACUACAACAAACAUUGUUUAUUUAUUUAUUUUUCCUUUGUUUUGUGGUACUGGGGAUUGAACUCAGAGGUGAUUUACUACUGAGCUACAUGUAGCCCUUUUUAAUUUUUAUUUUGAGAUAGGACUUCACUAAGUUGCUGAAGCUCGUCUCAAACUUGUGAUCCUCCUGUCUCAGCCUCCUGAGUCACUGGGUUUACAAAUAUGCACCACCACGACCAGUUUGAUGGCAUUUCUGUGUGGCAUUUUUAGUUGUUGUUAAGCAAAUAUUAACUGAUAUUGAUGUCUUCUCCAUGGGUUAAGAAUUUUCAAAAGGAAUGAGGUCCAUCUAAAUCUGGAUGGCAAUCAGUGUACAAAAUUUUUGUUUCAAGCUUAAUUCAGAAGAGACUGAACUAUACUGAUAAUUAAUAGAUCAUAGUGAUAGACAUAUCAUAAAAUGAUAAAGAGCACUUGUUAAUUAUUGGAUCUAAUGGCUGUAACACCUUGAGAAGACUUUAAGAAGGUUCCUAAAAGCAUUAUGAAAUGAUGUGUGUGUAAAAGUAGUGGGGGUGGGGGUGGGGGUGGAGGAAUGGUUAGCUGAUAGUGUAGAGGAAAUGAACCAUAUUAUCAACUAGCCCAUGCUUCUCCAGUUUGUCUGCAAGAACACAGGAAGCCUAAGAGGCUUUGACAAAUCCUUCAUGGAAAUCAAGAUUAAACUGCUGAUAGCAUUACUCUAAUCUAUCAUUCAAACUCUAGUCAAAUACAAGGUUAAUUUUAUGUAUUUCAUUUAUUGUGAACUCAAGUAGGCUUUUGAUUAUUAAUUCGUCUAUUGCAGAGACUCAACAUUUAUCAUUGUUCUACAGUUACUUCAGGAAUUCUCACUAAGUAGCUUAUUAAUUUUUCAGCAACACUUAUUUUUUCUGUGUUUUGAAAACUGGGAUAUUUGCCCUAUGACACAUCUCUUAAACAUCAUUUCAAAGAUUUCUAAAAAACAUUCUCAUGCCUUUAAUUGCUAACUUCUCUGUAGUCAUUUGGUAUAAAAUUUAUCUGACUAGAAAUUCAGAAUAAUAUAUAAAAUAAUAUAGUGCUUUCUUAUUCUCUGCUUCUUAAAAUACUAGAUGAUUUUCCUUAAUAUAAGUACUUCUUUUAGUAAUUAUAAUUGUUAUAUUGUUUAUAUAUAAUCAGUACCAACUUUGUCUUGCUCUGAUAUGCCAUGAGGGAUGUUCCCAUCUUUUUCCCUUAAACGAUUUUUAACACUCCUCAACUGCAAUGAUUUGAUUUUUGAACCAUUCUUAUAUGUUCCUUUUUCAGUGUUUCUUAUAAGCAUUUCUAAAACUUGAAAGCCUAGUCUUUCUUCUGUCUCCCCACUUUUCCGUCAAGCAGUUAAGAGUUUGGCAAUGACUGAAGAUGUUUUUCAUUCAUGACAACAGAGGGGGUGGGGUAGUCCUGGCAUCUAGUGGGUAAGGAGCAGAGAGGUUGCAAAGUAUUUUCAAUGCACAGGACACUCCCCCACAACAAGAAGUGCCCAAUUCCAAAGGUCAAUGACAAGAAAUCCUGCUUUGCAGGUCUCACAUAUCGUACCAUGGAUAAAUACAUGAUUACAGGUCAGAAUUUUGUUUUGAGGACAUCUUGAAAUUUCAUGUGACUUCAUUUCUUUUAUUUUUAAUAUUUCCCUAUAGGAUCACACCUAUUUUUUAAUUGAACUUUCUGUAACCUACACAUUUAAGGUCUAGGAAUCAUGAUCUGACUGGAUUAUCCAGUUUUCCCUUCCUUGAUUAUUACCAGUACCAAAAUGACAAUGGUCAUAUUAUCUUUAAGCUCAUGUCAUGGCCAUAUUACUAAAUAGUGCUUUGUCUGAGUAACUUGUAGAUUAUUUCCCUUAUUGCUUCUACUUGAGCAUAAAGAAGGAUUCAUUAAAGCAAGACAAUAAUCAUCUGUUUAAUGACUGUCCUGGAUUUCUGGGUCCAAUGUCGUUCUUUAAUAAUCAUUCAUUCAUUCUACAGAUAUUUAUAGAGCACCUAUCAUGUUCUACUUUUAUGGUGAUUAUGUUCUAGUGGAAAUCAAAAAAAAAAUGCCCAUUUUCUUUAACCAUUUUGAUCUUGUUCUACUAUAUGUUAAAAACCAAAUUUCAACAACAAAUAAUCAGUUAUAAAAGUUCAUUCAGACUUUUUCUCCCCUUUCACAUACACCUCUGUUUCUUGGGAACUGUCAAGAACCUGUCCAUUAAUUUCUGAACUUCACUUUUUUGCAGAUGUCAAUCUAUUUUUAGUUAUAACUUACUUUGUGUGCAUUCUAAAAGUCUGACUUUGGAGUAAAUUUUGAAUGGAGGGAAAUCAAAUAUUUAAUGAGCUGAACCAGUGGUAAUAAAAAUAGUCAAUCUGGCUCUUAAGGAAAAAUAGCCAUAAAAGUAAAGAUGGAAAAUUGUGAAAGGAAAGAGAUCAGUCAUGCUUGAAACUUAAUUUAUUUGCUAUGCAAGAAGAAGAAGAAGGAGAAGGAGAAGAAGAAGAAAAAGAAGAAAGUAAAACAAAACAAAUGUCAAGAAAAAGUGAAGAAAAGAAACAAUAACAUCCAUUUCUAGGGUAACUGUAACUCAGUGGAAUUUUUUUCUCUGGUGGUAUUUCUAUCCCUGACAAUUCUUUAGAGUUCCAUACUUAUUUUAUGGCAUAUUCCUCAAUAGUUGUGGAUAAAAUUGGCUUCUUAGGGACUCAGAAGCAUAAAUGAAGCAAAAUAGUAUAAUUUUAUUAUUCCAACCUGAAUAGUCUUUGAUUUUAUUUUAUAUUUUUUUCCCAUUUCUUGGUGCUUGUUUUCUUACUAUAAACUAGAAUAUAUGAAUGCUCCUGUUAAAUAGUCUACUAAUUUGUUAAAACAUGAACAAAAAAAUGUUGCUUUAAAAAUCUCACACUUUGUAAAGCUAUCUCUUUUUAACUAAUAUUUAACUUACAAAUAUUGCAUUUAUUAGAAGCUGAUUCUCAUCUUCUCUUUUCAAAUUAGAGAUAAAUUAUGAUCUUUCCUAACUAGGAGUUUCUUGUUAUAAAAAAUACCAGGAAACAGUAUGCAUAUGACUUUAGAAAACUGAUUGUAUUCUGUGGAGUUUAUGGAAAAUGAGAUAAAUUCUAAUACUCUGGCUUAUAACUGGCUUUCUAAUGAUGAUUUUGAAACAGAAAACUGCUUAUUCUUUUCUUAAAAGUCACAGUGACACUGACGGAUUGCAAAGAAAUUGCCUUUGUUAUUCAAGCAAAGCCAAGAGGAGUCACUUCUUUUUUCAAGUCCAGGCAACAUUCUGAACACGGGCAAGUUACCUGGUCUCCAGGAACCUAAAUUUCCUCAACAGUGAACUGAGUAAAAAUAUGUAUCUCAUAGGGUCUUUAUGGAAACUAAAUGUGAAAAUACAGGUUAGUAUUUGCUAUAGAGAAAUCACAUAAUAACAAAGUGAUAUUCCUCUUUUAUAACCUUAGGCACAGACUGUCAUAUUUCAUUUGUUAAAAAAAUGCUGAAAGAAUCUUAAACGACAUCUAGUGUACCAAGCAUCUGAUGCUAGAAUAGUUUAUAGAUGUCCCCUAAGCACUAGCCUGUGCUUUAAUUGUUCUAAUAAAAUAAAAAGUGUUACCUCCUAAGGCAUCAGACAUUGGUAAAAAAUUACGUUGAAACUUAUGAGACUGCCACUUUUAUAGGUCAAAACAGCCCAAUAUUGUCAAACUUCAUGAGUCAACCUAACGCAAAUCCUACUCACAAGAUAAUUCUAUAUGAUAAAAAUGUGAUAUGACUUGAUAAGGCUAGAAUGUAGAGGUAGCUGUAUUAUUGUUAAAAACCAUUAUUAAAAAACACUUUUUGAGAGAAAAUAUAGUAGUCAUUAGGAGCCUAGACCAGGGGUCAAUAAGUUGUAAUCUAUGGACCAAAUCUAGUCCACUAUUUUGUGUAGCCCACGGGAUAAGAAUUCCAUUUGCAUGUUUAAAGAGUUGGGGGAAAAAAACUGAAGAAUACUUUCUGACACAUGGGAUUUAUAUGAAAUUUAAAAUUUUAGUGUCCAUAAAUAAAGUUUUUAUGGAACACAUCCAUGCUUCUUCAUUUACAUAUUACGUAAGUCUGUUUUUCUGCUGUAAAGACCAAGUUAGGUAGUUGAGACUAUGACUUCACAGCUCAUAAAGCCUAAAUACUACCUAUCCCUUCAGGGAAAAAAAUUGCUGACCCCUAUCCUAGAGUCAUACUGCCUGCAUUCAAAUGCCAAUGUCACUACUUCUUAACUAGGUAAUCUAGGCAAAUUGUUUAAUAUUUCUGAGCCUGGUAAAAUAAUUUUAAGUGCCAAGCAUAUCACAAAUACACUAUAAAUGUUACUAUGAUUGUUAAUAACCAUUAAUACUCUUCUGGGGUGCCAUUGUAAAUGGGCUAUGACUGUUACAUUGAUAUAUCAUGAUAUAAAAUUCAAACAACUUUCAUCAGCAUCUGUGGACUUAAUAGUAAAAUGCAACCACUUGCUCGUAUAAAUGAUUUUAAUAUUUACAUCUCACUCUAACACAUGGUUCAUUUCAAGUUAAAAAUAUUUAAGCUUCUAAAUUUGCAAAUGCUAAGCUGCAACAUAGGGGCUGUUUUGUCCCUUGGACAAUGAACAUCUGCUGAAACAAUUUGUCCAAUGGAGCAUUUGCUUCUGCUGGCCUUUUUAUUUUUUAUUUUUAUUUUUUUUAAGAAAUGGAAAAAGGAUCAUUGUUUAACUGCAACUCUUCUCAUCUUCUAAACCAAGAAAUUUUCUCUUGGGACAACAUGUUUCUAGGACUUGGAAAUGUGAAGUGACCUCAACUGUUUAUUUAUUUAUUUUUUUCCCAUUCAAAUAAGUGAAGUUUUAUUUUGAGUGCCUUAUCUUUUUUCUUUCCUAUUUAAAUAUUGUUUGAAAGACCAUAGGCUCCCAACCCCAAACUGUCCCAAGAUUUCAAGAUUCUGUAUUGACUUGAGUUCUGCAGCACUUGCUAAAUCUGAAAAAGACUACUGAAAAAAGACUAGAGGUAGAGUAGGGUUACCACACAGCAGAAACAAGGUUUUAUAUUAGAAAAGCUUCUUAGAAAUGGCGCAGAUCUAUUACUUAUUGUAUGCAAAGUUGGAAAGGUCUGGUGGGAAGAGGAUCCAAAAUCUUGAAAAUAAAAUAAAAUACUCCCGAAGCUAAAAUUUCAAUAGCAGGCUAGUGAUAAUAGAUGGUUUCGUGGAAGGACUGAUAAACUUUAAGUCUAAGACUUAUCAGUUAGGUUACUUCUCCAGCUUUUCUGCAUUAGUUUCCCCAGGGGAAGUGAAGAGAGGACACUUGAAGCAUUCAGCUUUAUGAGGCAUCCUUAAAGAGUUGGAGAAUAAUAACUAUUAGAGGUCUCUGGGUAAACCAGUUUCAAUUAAAGAUGCUUCUUUUGUUACCUUGCUUAAAAGAGCUUCUGGUCCUUGGGGAUUACAUCAAGAGCAAUGAAUUGUAUCUGAAAUGGGGAAGGGAAAGAAAGUGUUGUCAAAUUUCUUGUUAAUUCAUAAGCAUGAAGUGUUGUUUACAGUAUUUCAAUAGGACAAAGUAGCCUGAGACCUGCAAGUCAGUAUUUAAGCAUUGAAGAGUUUCUGUUUGCCAUAGAAGUGAGGAACCGUGCAGUUUUCAAAUGGAAUGGGUUGUAUUGCAUAUAAAUCAUUCCUAAUAUUGGUUUGUUUUCUACUUAAUAUGUUUAUUAUUAAAUUGGUUGAAUAUAUAAAGAAGAAGUUCAGUUAGUUACCAACUCAAAAAUAGUUUGCCACAUGUUAUAUAUUUUGCCACUUAGUUAAAAUCUUUAGCAUUCUUUGGUACGGAGACUUAGGAUGCUUGUGGGAUGGAGGGAAAUUUUCCUUUGAGUGAACUGUAAGAAUCUUUUGGAUGACAGUCAAACACUUCUGUAAUUUCCGUCACCAUUUUUAGAUUCUUUGGCAUCACUUAUUUCAAGUAUGUCUCUGGAAUGUCAGGGAGAUGCCACACAUCAUUUUGAAUAUUGUGUUUUAAUAUAAUAUCAGGCAAAAUUUAUUCUUAGAGAAUUCAGAAAAAUAGGUAGGAUGCUUUAUUUUCUUAUCUUUUGUCAAAACACAAAACUUUAAUUAAGAACCAAAUGGGGCUUCUGGUCAGUUUUCUACCUGUGAAAUUAGAUUAGAAAGGAAUUUUUAUUCUCUGGCUAUAGACAGUAACAGAUUUAUAUGUAGAGGGGAAAAGAAUUGAGAAGAAGGGAACCCAUAAUGUAGACUUAUCUCUUAAACUAUCAAAUGGUCCAAAUAUUUGGUCCAAAAUUGUGAAGUUGUUUUAUUCUGGAUAUUGACACUUGAGUCCUCUACAUUUAAACUUUUUAGAAGAAUGAGUUUGCUAAUACUUUGAAAUUAACUUUCUCUUAUCAUUUUCCAAGUUGAAUAAAUCUGAGAUUUAAAAUUCUAUCACUGCUAGCUACUCUAAUUCUCUUAAGUGAGCAUGUUAAAUUUGUUGUGCUGGCACCAGUAGACAUAGGGAAAGAAAGAGGAAGACAGACCUCAUGAGAUCAUCUAAUCCGCACUAACGUCAUUGAAAACAGUUGGUUCCUUAGUUUAAGGUUUCCAAGUGAUUUGUUACACCUGAAAUUGCUGUAUGAUUAAGUCUCUAAUAAUAAAAGAGGUUUGCUUGCCUUUCUGAUCAAGAAUCACUGCAGUAUCAAACAAAGGAUGAAUUCUUUCCUAAGAAGCUUAUGACCAAUUCAGGUCUCUACAAGCAUUCCAGGAACAAGAUUCCUUUUCGUUACCAAGAUCAUAAGUGUGAUUUUGGCCCAGAAGCUUAAAAACUACAGCACAUAUGCAGUGUCUCACUUGUUCUGUGAACCAUUUUUUUUUUUUUAUUCCUGUGUUCCAAAUUUUUUUUUUUCUAUCCUUGUGAUAUUGGGAAACAGCAGGUAUGAGUAUUUUUAGCUGGCUUACCUGAAUCAAUCUCUCCCCAAGUCAACAUAUUUGAACUAACAACAAUCACAACAAAUUCUUAGCAGAAAAAAAAAAAAAAAAAAACCUCCCUGCUCACUAUUUUCUAGCUCCUGUCUUGUUAUUUUUAGUUUUGUGACCUUGGGAAAAUCAUUUACAUUCUCUGAAUCUUUUUCCUCUUCUGUGGAGAAUGAGUCUAAAGGACUAUAAGAGUUUCUUUUGAGCAAAUUUGAAGCAAUUUUGUGAUGAAGAAAGGGCAGUGGGAGAGAGACACGUCAGGAAUUCCUCACACUUCUACCAUUCCCACAAGGACAGCAGACUUUUAGCCACGACCCCAGUUUCAUUAUUUAUCUUAAUUUUGGGGAUAAAAAUUCACACAAAGCUAAUGUAUUUAAAGUUGAUGGGGAGAGAGAUUCUGAAUUAUAACCUUUCAUUUUAGCUAUUUUUUAAAAAAAAGAGUUUUAAGGUUUGAAAACUGGUAUGUUUUAGAUUAGAAAACUGAAUCACAUAUCAUGUGUUAGUCUCUGAGGAAAUAACAGUUACUAAUGCUAAUUAUUAACUUUGGUGUUGACUUCUUUUCCCUUGUAAUUAACAAAAUGCAACUUUUCAUCAUUUCCCGGAUUUUUAUGAUAAAUGUAUUUCUCUCUAGCACUGCUUUGUUAAAACCCUCCAGAAAAGUUCAAAAUAUACUCUAUUGAUAAAGUGUUCAUAAAGAUUAACUUUUAGUGAUUCCAUUUCAUGGACAUGAACAAAUAGAAUCUUUUAUCAAGAGGUCAUCUCUUCAUUGAUGGCUUUGAAGGUGGGGGGAAAAUUUUUGUUGAUAAACACCUUAUUGCAAUUCUUGAGAUUGCCGCAAAUGGCAGAUAUGUGUUUGAUGAUUGUAAAAUAACCAGUUAUGCUCAGAUGAUAUAGUCAACACACUGGAAAUAGGAAAAGGAGCUAGUUGUGUUUCACUUCCUGAAUUUUUAUGUCCAAAAGCAGAAAUGUUUUGUUUACUUCUUGUUUUGUGGAGCUGUUGCAAAAAUGUCAUUUCAUUGCAAAGUUAGAGAUAGUGAGUUUUACUUAACUGUGUGGAAAGUCUAUUACUAGGUAUAUGCCAAAGUGUUACUGUAGAAUUGGUUUAACAUGAAAGAUCUAGAAGCAUAUCCUUUCUAUUAGAUGAUGUUAGGAAUCAUUAUCUUUCAAAUAUAAAAAUAUUCUUAAUUUUAAAUGUCAUCUGUUUAGUGCAUUAGGCUGACAAUGUUACGCUGGCUCAAUGGCACCAUGGAGCAUUAUUGUCCAUUACAGAAAAUUGUGCAUGGCAGAUAAUAGACAUAAGAAGAGCUAGUGAUCAGUUACAAUGCUAAUGUUCAUAUUUUUUUGUCACUACUGAAAAGAGUAAAUAAAAAUUUCCACAGAAUCCACAGUACCUGAAUAAUGCAAAGUUAUAAAUGUACACACAUUACAAAACUGAAAUAAUGUAAAUAAUUUUACACCUUUUAUCACAAAUUAGAGGAGACUCCACUAAAGUGUCUAUGGCUUUCAACUUUAAAACUCUUCAUAGUCUAGUUUGUUUUCAAGGUGGAUUUUAUUAACUAUUAUUCGAAAAUUAAAAGUAUACUGCAGAUUGAUUUUGACAAAUGUCGAAAAUAAUCUAAUUUUUUUCAUUUGAGUUCCUGAGGUAAUCACAGAGAAAACCAGUAACUUUGUAAAUACAGUGACGUCUCCAGGAGCCUGUGAAAACCAGAAUGGAUAUAACUGUAUAAAAGAUGAAUCUAUGAGGAUAAUGUCCAAGUACAUUAUUUUCUUCAACUGUUCUGAUUCAAGGGGGCCUCACUGGAGAAGAAUUCAAAUAAUAAGAUAAUAGCUCUCUUAAUACUCAGAUUCAUUGUCCAAGAUAACCUAGAAUCACAAAUAGAGUACUUUCAUUUUUGCACAGAAAUAAAGGGUGAAGAAAUUCAGAAGUUCAAUUCUAAAAAGAUCAUUAAAACACUCCUCAUGUAGGUGUUUGCCUACAGGAGGUAUUGGCUAUCUGUGUGGCCCUAGUCAUUUAGUUUAUUUUCCUUGAAUAAAAAUGGCCCCACUUUUAUCCAUACCCUGGGUCUCUUAUGUAGUGUGAAACACAUAAUUUUCCUGUUUCUCCUUCCAUCACUCCCAGGAGCUCCACUCCUCAGGGAGUUCUGAAUCUCAAGGGGGUUGUUCUUCUCAUUUUACCCUUUCAUUCUCAGCUUCCACAGUGUGGAAAUCUCUUUCCUAUCUCUUCCUCUUUUAAGCAUCCCCUUCUAUUCAUUCUGCAAGAACCUAAAAUGAGCACGUGUUUUCAUUUAUCUCCCUAAAACACAUUUUCUACUAGCUGGGUCAAUGAUCUUGUGUAUUUCCUGAGAUAGGAGGACAUUAUAGCACAGCACAGACAUCCUUGUUCACUAGCCAUCCUGGCCGCUGGCCUGUACUUUCUCAGGCCCUGGCUUCUGGGGCUUUGCUGCGCUGGCUUUCUUACCUUGUGCUAUUCCCCUACUGCUUUCUGUGGGCUUGCAAAACGUGCCUCAUCUGUCUCUAGUUAAAGCAAAACAUUCUUCUUCAUUAUGCAAGCAUCAUAUUUUGUACAGUGUUUAAUUCAUUUUAGCUGAACUUCAAAAGCAGAGUGAAAGAUGGUUUACCAAGAUGAUUUGCUAAAGAAGGCAAUUCUUUUUCCCCAGGAGCAAUUCUGUUACCUCCUUUUAUCUGCUCUAGUUCUACCUACACGCAAAGUUUUGUGGCACACUCUACAUUUUGAUGGAUUAGCGAGGACAGCAUUAGUUUUUGAAGGGCUCUUGAAAGAGAUUCCUUCCUACUCUUCCUGACUAUAUACAAAUCCCAAACCCAGUUGAUUCUACUUGAAACAUGCUUCUUCCCUCUGUAACUACCCUAGUCCAAAUAUCUUUUCAAAAACCUCCUAACCUCUUGUUGGGAGAAAAAAACCUUUUGCCAACUUUGAGUGACAGGGAUGUGAGGAGAGGCUGAACAUUAACUGACAUUGGAGUAAUAGGACAAGUUUAUUUUCACAUGCAUGGGGGAGCACCCCCUGUACAGUGACUUCCUGAACAAGUAGAUAAGAGUUUCUAGACCCACAUAGUAAAGAGGAAGGGUAGGAAUUCAAAUGAUAGAAGGUUCUAAUGAAGCUUGUUUAUACAUUUUUUUUUUUUUUGGAAUGUCCCAGUGCCCAGGGCCAGCUGCCUCCCUGGCUAUGGCUAUAGAUUUCCUGGAGGGGCAAUUUGUGGCAGCUGACUCUUUGUGUUAGUCAGAUAAGAGAAAUUUAGAUAAGCACCCCCUCCUUUUUUUUUCUGCAUCUGUUGUAACUCAGAUCUAUGUUCACUUUGCAAUUAUACUAAUUUGGUGGGUUGGUGGUCCCUAGAUUAUCUCUCUACCUGCAGCCUAUUUCUUACUAAUCUGUUCUCCACAUUGUAGCCAGAAAUAUUUCUAAAACACCUGAUCAUGGUGUCCUGCCUUCUUAAAAAUACUUCAGUGGCUUUUCACUGCCAAGGAUUAUGAUGUAUAAUCCGAGAUUUACCACUUGCCCACUAAAGCUUAAAGAACAAAAGAGUAAAAUUGUAUAAAUCUAGCCUAGAUGGCUAGAGCUGACUUAUAUGGCACAAGAUGUGGGACAAAGCGGGUUAAGUUAUGAUACACAAAAAGUCUUUGGUCUGUCUUUGGUGAGCGUGUUUCUCAGAUUUUACUUCUGAAAAAGAACUGCUUUGGGAAGCAUGCCAAAGUACCAAAUCUUUUCCUUUUCUCUUAAACUUUAAUUAACAUUUACUCCCUUGAGGGCCUUACUGAAAUGCCUGGCUAAGUUCAUAAGCUUAUUCUUAUGAAAGUUAAUAAGCUAAUGUACUAUGUAUCUCCACAUACAGUGUUUCUGUUUGACUAAGGUCCUUCACAACUUACUCCACAGGAUAAUCUGUAAAAGGAUUUUCAGACACUGAAGCAACAGGUGAGAAGAAAAUUUGAGCAAUGGCUUUUGUAUUAUUUAUGACUAGAAAUGGCCUCACAGGGAAGAAUUCUAUUGCCUUUGUAUAAUUUGAGCCAGUCAGGAGAAAGUUUCAUGCUCUCCCAGGUAACCCUAAUAUAUAGCAUAAUAGUUAUCUUGUGGUAUCCAGUUGUUAUUAUAUUUGAAUCAUCCAUACUUUUAAAAAAUAACUUUAUUUAAAUAUAAUUUACAUGCCAUAAACCCACCCAUUUAAAAUAUAUAUAAUUCAGUGUGUUUUUUUGUUGUUGUUGGGCAUUCACAGAGUUGUGUAAAUCAUCACUGCUAAUUUUCAAACACUGUCAUCUUUGUCAUCAUAUCCCUAUAACCCAUCAGCAUUUAUCCCCCAUUCACAACCUGUAUUAGAUAAUAAAUUAUUUUCUGGCUCUACAGAUAUUCCUAAUUCUGUGUUUUCAUACAAAUGGAAUCAUGUAAUAUGUGAUUUUUAUGAUUUUCCAUUCACAUGAUGUUUUCAAUGUUUAUCUAUGCUAUGUGUUGCAUGUAUCAAUAUGUCAUUAUUUUUUUUUGCCAAAUAAUAUUCCAUCAUAUGGAUAUCCAACAAACGUUGGUACAUUCAUCAAUUGAUGGACAUAUGAUCCUUUCAUGGACUUAUUGGCCAUUUUUAUACUCUCUCUGGAGAAGUCUAUUUGGAAAAAUGUCUGUUCAAAUCCUUCUCCCCAUUUUAAUUGGGUUGGGUUUGUUUUUAUUUAGUCAUAAGAGUUCUUUAUACAUUCUAGAUACAAGUCAGAUACAUGAUUUGUAAAUAUUUUCUCCCAUUCUGUGAGUUAUCUUCACUUUUUGUUGGUGUCUUUUGAAACACAAAAAUUUUAAUUUUGAAGAAAUCCAAUUAAUUCCUUUUUGUUGCUUAUUCAUUUGGAGUUACAUCCAAGAAACCAUCGCCUAAUUCAAGUCAUGAAGAUUUGCUGUGCCAAGUGGAUUUGCUCAUGCUUUCUUCUAAGAGUAAUAUAGUUUUAGUUUUUAAAUUUAGGUCUGUAGUACAUUUAAUUUUUAUUUUGUAUACAGUAUGAGGCACAGGAUCUGAUUUGAUUCUUUUACAAAUAGAUAUCUAGUUGUCUUAGUAACAUUUAUGGAAAUUAAUGUGGUUUUAAUCUAUACAUAGGGAAGCUAUUAUGUUAUGUUAUGUUAGUAAUUAUGUUAGCUAUCUGUCACUGAGUAUCCCAGUAAGCAAAUUUAAUUCUGAGAGUAUUCAGGUAUUGACACUCAGUUGUGUAAGUUUGUAUACACUGCAUUUUUUCAUAGGUACUGCUCUAUUAAAUAAGUUUCAGAUGUUGGGAGUAUUUCUCUUCUCCAAAGGGAACAAUUUACCAUAUUUAAUGCAAAAAUGGAUGAGAACUUUCAAAAGUAAUUAAUCUGGAUCUAUAAACACCUUAAUAAUUACUCCAUUUAUUCCCUCCAUAAAUAUUUAUUGAGGACCUACUAUGGGCUGAGAAAAUAAUGUUAAUAUGCUUAACAUAUUCCCUGUCUUUAAGAAGCAUAUUUUAUAUAGAAAAGAAAAAAAGGUAUGAAAAUAGAUACAUGAUAGGUCGAGGGUUAUAAAGAAAAUAAAAGUAAAGUAAGAGGGUAGAGAGUGAUACAGAAAAGGGAUGCUAAUUUAUACAAUGUAGACAGAGAAAAUCUCUUUGAUUAAGGUAAUAUUUAGGUAGAAACCUGAAGGCUGCAGGGAAGUAUUCAUGUAGCUAUAUUAAAGAAAAGUAAAUCUAGGUAGUGGGAAGAGCAAGUACAAAAACCUGAUAAAGUUUGUGUGGCUCCUCCCAGUUUUUACCUCUCCCUCCUUAUGUCUAAUGCAAAUUGCAUAUUUUUUGCAGCCAUCUCCCUCCAUUUUACCAGUUUCUUUGAAAAAAAUGAUUUUGCCAUAAUGGAUUAUACAUUGUACCAUAUUAAAGAAGAUAGAGUGUCCUGUUUCAAAAGUGAGUAAGAUGAUAAGGCAGAUGUUUUUCCUAUGUUGCACUGGCAUCCUUGAAAAAGCUUUACUUCUGAGACUGCAACUUCAACUCGACAAAUUUUAUUGAAUGUCUAUGGUGGUAUUUCCCAAGUCAGCCUCUAUGGGCCACAUUUGUGGUUCAGAACUUUCACUGGAGACUUAACAAUGGUUUGAAUAAUUAAGGAUAGUUAGUCAGGCCUCAGGAAUUUAUGAUAAGUAGGUUUAUAUUUGGAUAAUGCAGAAUUUAGUGAACACUGUCACUGGGAUGAGUUACUUCCAAAUAGUUUUAUGUUGAGGAAUCCAGAUGGUUUAUGAACAGUCUACCUCAAGCGUCAUCAGUAUGACACAUUGGGUGUGUACAGUGUGGCCAGUUCAUCAUUUAUGCCACAUAGGGCUCUGGUAAUUCAAUGACUCACAAUAGUUAAUGUUAGAAAAUCAGACGUUGCUGCCUAUGUACUGCAUUCCUACUGAAUUUUAACAUCCAAAGAGAAAACCUACUUGCGAUGAAAGACUCAGUGGAUUUUACAGCCAUUAUUUUUAUUAAAGUCAUUAUUUUUUUAGGAACAAUACCCUGAAAAAACAGUGCCCAACCUUUCUCUUUCAUUCUUGCCCAUGUUUAUGAGCUCUAGUUCCGAUUAUCUUAGAUUCUGGCUAAUGGUUAGUGGCCUGGAUAUAUGAAAGCCAGAUGAUAUAAUACCUUCCAUAGUUAGACUUGGAAUAUUCCUGAAUGCCCUAAAUCUUUACACUUAACUAGAUAUUCCUUGGUAUACUUAGACUUGCUUUCUGUAUUUUGACAGAUAAAGCAAGCAUCCCUUAGUUUAAAUAUUUUCCAAGUGGGGCUGCUGGCAAGUUGGUCUGUGAUUCAAACAUAUACACUGUAAAAAAACAUGAGUUUAAAAAAUUAUGGCAGGAGAACAGAGAAUAGAAUUAUGAAAUGCCCUCUUGCCUUUUCACCAAGUACAUUCAAUUCCUACCUACUGACAAGGUAAAAGAAUCUUUCUUGCCCCUGGAUCCAGACUAGAAGUGUUUUAUCUUGCUUCCUAUUUUUAAGGUCUGAUUUUCAACAUUGAAUUAUACAUAUGUUCCUUGAAUGCCUGUAGAAGUUCUCAAUAAAUACCAAAGUAUUAUUACUAUGGCUUGGAAGUAUUAGGGGGAUAAAUAUCACAGUGAUCCCAUGAGGUGUUCAUCUUGUUUAUGUCAGGGUUUUUUUUCAUAUUGUUUAUUUAACUUAGUAAGAUUAAUUUUAAAAAAUAGAUGAUGAGUGAGAAAAAACAUUUUAAGUGUGUUUUUCCUAUAGGAAUGCGUUUUCUUCAAUUUUACCUGACCUAUGGUCAGAAAUACAAUUCAUUUUUUUUAAAAGCAUUGUAUUGAGUUCUACUGGCUAUUUCCUUUUAAUGAGGUUGAAAGGAUGGCCUUUAAAGGGUGUUACCAGAUUAAAGCUUUGCCAAGUAAGGAAGGUGGAGCUGUAUGGGAAUGAGGUUUUGUUUAAUCAGGUUGUACAAUAUUUUGCUGAGACAUGUUGGGAAAAGCAAUCUAAAGUAAUGUGGACUCAGUAUGAAAUGACGGUUUCUUAGCAAAACACACUUUAUAAAAUUUAGAGAUCUUUUGCCAACCUCUUGGGAAUUUACACAAUAGCAAUGCUAGGGAAAAUCAGCUACUGAGGUGUACAUAGAGGCCUUUCCGUAACAUUCAUAAGACUAGAAAAAGAAUACAAAUAGAGGUAAAGCCCACAGCCCAGCCUUUUUCUUCCCACCCAAAACCCCUUCCUGUAAGUGAGAAUUCUCAAAGAUUAUUCAUGUGGCCACUCCUGCCCACAUAUCCAAGCUUUAUUAAGAUUCCUUACAAACAUCUGCCACAUGAGCAUCCUUCAGGCCCAGGUGUUUCACACAGAUGGAACAACCCAUGCCUGGAGACAGAUCUGGGAAAAGUGAGGCAGCUCCUGGCCCUUAGGGCAUGGGAUUCUGAGAUUCCAGGUAACCAGGGAAGGCAAAGAAAGGCAUAUGGUGGCUCAGGCUCUGAAGCAUGAGUUGAAGAGUUGUGAUCCUGUUGUGUACUCAUGUGAAAUCGUUGUGUGUCAACUCUUUCAAGCCCUAUUGUCUACAUAUCUUUAAAAUGUAUGGAAUAUUUAAUAUACAACUGAUUAUUUUAUCUAAGGAAGGGAUAUGUCAUGAAUGAUCCAAGAAAAUAGGCAUGACAGCACACUUGUGGUUGGAUAUAGUACAAUGAUUAGUCCACUAUGAAUAUCUAAAUGCCUCAUACAAAAAUAAGGUGAUGCUAUAAAAUAAUGAGACAAAAGCCCCUCUUGGAAGGGCCUAGAAAGCUGUUUUCCUCAUCUAUGUACUGAAGGAUCAGUUUCAUCUCAUUCCUUCCCGAUUGUACGGCACUGUGAGAAUGAGUUGGCUUUGGGAGGCCCAUGUCUUCUGGUUCUCUCCUCUCUUUGGCUUCACACCCUCUGCCUCUGAGUGUUCUCUUUCUCAUAUGCAUUUUGGGAGGGGUUUUCCUAAAAGUUCUUAAACAUGUUUUAACCCCGAGAGCUGCACUACCUUUUGCAAUAGAGAGAGCUGCAGCUUCAUCUUUAGUCUUUUAACCAAAAAACAUGGAAACCUUACCUACAUUUACUUUUGUGAUAAGGUCAGAAUGAGAGAAUAUAAUCAGAGAAAUGGAGCAUAUGGAUAAGAAAUAAUUAUCAUUUUUGUUUUGAAUAUGACUUUUUUUUAUACCAAGGAUUGAACCCAGAGGUGCCACAUCCCCAGCCCUUUUUUGUAUUUUAUUUAGAGACACAGUCUCACUGAGUUGCUUAGUGCCUCCCCAUUGCUGAGGCUGGCUUUGAACUCACAAUUUUCCUGCCUCAGCCUCUGAGCCGCUGGGAUUAUAGGUGUGCACCACUGUGCCUGGCUUGAACAUGAUUUUUUUUUUUUUUUUUAAGAGAUGGUGCUUGAGCUAGUGUCCAUUUUGGGAUUGGAGAAGUCAGUAUAGGUAAUAAGAAAACCCAUGAAAGUAUAUGAGAUACAGGAAAGUAAUUCUGAGUAGAAUGCAUCAUUAAAUGUUUGAGCAGACAACAAAAACACAUAUAUGUUAACUACUCAGAUUUAAUACUUUAUUUUCGAUAAUGUGAAGUGGUGAAUUUAAUGUAUUGUGAUCUAAUUGGCCAGGAUAGUCUCCCCUACCAACUAAUGAUACCAACUAUCAUUUUAUUAUUUCAAUUCCCUCAUAAUAUUGAUAUAUCUCACAAAUUUAAAUCUUGUUAUUUCUAAUUGCACCACCAACAGUAUAAUAGGCAUAUAUAUAUAUAUAUAUAAAAUAAGGUAUAAUAGUAGCUUCCUUUCAAAGUUUGCAGCAGAGUUUGAAAUAGAGAAAUCAAUAAUCUAUGAUUUAAAAUGGCAAAAACCUGUGCCCUAUGUAGUUCUAGUUCCUAUGUCUUGAGGUAGGGUAGAAUUCCCAGUCAGACUUCUAACCUCUUUCUGGUAAUAAUCCAUGAUCAAGGCCUGUGGUGGCCACGUGUAGCACACAGAACAAAGUGGGGAAGGAAUUUUUUUUUUUUUUUUUUAAGAGAUGGUGCUUCAGCCCUACUCUCACCUGUUCUCCUGGACCUACCUUUCCAGUUCACUGCCCUCCUGGAGCCUGGGCCUUGGUUACCCAGAACAAUAGUUCUCUCCAGGUAGUGCUUGGCCUUCCUGACUGCCUGGACUGCAGUCUAAAGAAUAGCAAUGUCAUGCUCCUCCCAGCCUUUCCUCUACCUCCAACAGCAUUCCUGAGGCUCUCCCAGUCAGUUGGUAUCUGCCAGAACCUACCUGUCUGGUUAGACACCCAUGCAUACUGUUUUGGCCUGGGUAACCUCAUUGCCACCUAAGCACAGAACUGCAGAAAAUCUUAGAAAAUAAAUUAUAUCUUGUGCUACAUUAAAUUCUGGUACUUUAUUAUUGUUCUUAUGUCAGUCUGCCCUCUGUUUAGAUGGGCCUGAUAGAUGACUUUUCAAGAAUAUGAUGAUUAUCUAGUGAUGAUUUUCUUUGAUCUUCAGGUAUCCACAGUUCCAAAAGGACUGGUGUGUGUGUGUGUGAUCACUUUGGCUUGUUUUACUAAGGUGUUGUCAAACUAAAUGUUAGUUUGAGCUGAGAUUUCUGAAAUGAUCUUGUAGAAAAAAUAUUUUAAUUGUAAAUACUGGUCAAACCAAACUAACUUACACCAGAUAUGUUCCUAUCAUUAAUAAAAAGCAACAUUUCAUGGAGUGACAUACUGAAUAUAUCAUGGUUUAGAAAGAAUGCUUUAAAUAAACUAUCAAAUAUCUUUAACAAUUAGGGAAUUGUUUCACUUGUCAAGGUCAGAAACAGCAAAGGAGGGAUAGAAGGAAAUGUUAAUUGGCCUUAUCAAACAGGAACUUGAGCUAAUGCUACCUGCACAGUUUCACUAUAAAAUAAUAUACUUAAAUGUAAAUUUUAUCAAUCACAAAGACCAUUUCAAAAUCCUCAUGGGAAAGGUAAUCAAGUAUUUUCUAGUUUCCAACCUGAGAACCUGAAUGACAGGCAGUUAAAAUAUGGGAAGUUGUUCAACUGAACUAAUUUGCUUAACAACUUAUAUUAAAUAUUUGAUUAAAAUUUUGCUUAACAAAUUCAGUUUGUAAUAGUAGAAACUGUUAAUUGGAGACAGUCUCAGAUAAUAAAAAUAUACUCCUGCUGUCACUAGGUUGAUCCAUAUAGAAAAAAGAUAUGUAUUUUCAGAAUAUGCCAGAGCAAAAAUGUUGGCAUCUGGGAGUUUGAGAAUUCACGUGGAGGUGAUCAGGCAUAUAAAACAAGCAGCAGAGUGGAAAUGGACAUUCCACUGUUUCUGGUUCUAGCUUCACCAAUGAAUAGCUCGGUGAAGUUGGGCAGGUCAUUUGACUGCCUUUGGCCUAAGAAUUUUUUUCUCCAUAAAUAAGAUGUUGGACUCUGAUUUCUAAAGCCAAUUAAAAGUAUGAAAUCAUGUGACUUUUUUAGGAGUUUCUUUCAAAACACACAUUGCCUUUUAUUUAUGUCUGGGCCUAUCUUAAAGCAUUACUGGACCUUAUCCAAUCACAGUUUUAGCAAACAAUGAGGCCACAGAAAGGCUAUUUGCGUCAUUUGAUUUUAUUUUUUCAUGCUCAAACAAUACCUGGCAAAUAAAAAAAAGGUUUCUGAAUUGUGUGAUUGGCACAGAUGCAUGGUCAGCUGCACUGAGAAUUCAAGUAAGCUAUAUGUGUAUUCAGGGUGAAGAAUCAAGAUGAGGGCUGAUUUGCAUUUACCUGUUUUUGAACCAAACCAAUGUUACAAAUUUUGGGUGUGAGACAAAUGCCCAAACUCAAAAACUUUCAUUCUCUCCUACUCAUUUGGCUUUUUCAUUGAAUGCACACUACUCAGUGACUGCCUCUCACUCCCUCUCUCUCCUAUGUUUUCUACAGCAUUUCCCAUUUCAAUACACCCUCUAUUCUUUGUACUCCCUCAUUUCCGUAACAUUACCCACUCUUUCACUUUGGCUCUUGCUUUCUUCUCCAUACCUUAAAUCUAAUCAUAACAUAAGAUGUGUCCCUAGUCCUUUUGCUCCUCUGUAUUAGAUCUCAGUGUAUUAAAAUUUUCUUAACUCAAUUAUCACUAACAUAUGGACAGCUCCAAAUCUGAUAUUGUUAUCUUUGAUCACUGUUGUAUAGUUCGACUGUCCACUGGUAAUAUUCUUAUACAUUCAUUUAUUUGAAGGACAAAGCACAUACUACGAAAGGUCUCUUUUAGGCAUAAUAGGGUAUUUGAGGGAUUUAAAAAAUGUCAUUUCUAGAAAAAAGUGUUGUGCAAUAUGUCUCAAUACUUGUUGGAUAUUUACAAAGCAUUCUCAGUUUUGUAUAGGACCAAAAUGGAUGAGGUAUUUCCAGGAAGACACCUUUUUAUGAUUUAGAAGUCAUUUAAGGAAAACAGAAUUUAAGACUUUGAUUUUUGGAAUAUAUAAUUAAUUCAAAGUAAUCUUGCUCUUAUACAUGAUAUAUAAGAUGCCAAUGAAUUGCCUUUACCUGAGAUAUCUGUAAUCAAAUUGUUUGUCUUUUUCUCAAAUCCAGCAUUCUAAUCUGCUUUCCACACCUGCAGUUUCUGGUGUUUACUCUCGUCACUCAACAACCUGACUCCAUUUAAAUAAAAACUUUAUUAUUAAAAAAAAAAUUAGAGAAACCUAUAACUCCUCCCUUUUCUCCUUCCCCAGUAUUUUUAUGUUCUGCCAAACAGCAAAUUCUAUGGAUUCUUGCUUCACACUGCAUUUUAAAAGCAUCCCUCUGCAUUCCUCAUGCCCCUACUAGAGUCAUGUUCUCACAUCCUGCAUCUCCAAUAUUUUAACUGUCUACUACAUAUUGUUUUGAAUUCCUACUAACAUCUACCAGCUAAUUCUUUGAAAAGCAUUUUAUACUUUUGUGUCAUCAGUUUUCCAAUGAUUACAGAAUGAAUUCAAAUAUUUCACUCUCAAGACCCACCAUAAGCUAACUAUAUGAUUGCUUCAAGAAAAAAUAAACUGCUAUGUUUAGAAAAAAAAAAAGAAAAGGCAUUUUUUUAAGAUUGAGAAUUUCAAUAUUAGGGGAGUUUGGUUCUUAAUAUAGCUUAUUUCUUUGUUUAGUUUCUUAUCUGCAGGUUUGUUGGGAGGCAGCCAUUCUCUGUAGUCAAAUAAAAAUUAAAAUACAAUUGUGAAUAUGUACUUUUAAAGCAAAUUGAUUGUUGAAGAUAUAAGAAUGACAGAAAGAAAGGGACUAAGGCUCUCAUCUAAGCAAGUUCAGGGUCUCCUAGAUGACAGUAGAAUGCUUUAGAAGCCCAUAGAGGUAAUAUCUUGAAUGAGAGCAUUUAGUAUCAAGGUCUCUCUAGAAGUGAAGGAAGGAUUUAAUGCAUUUAUAUAUUAAGGCCUAUAAGAAAAACUUAAGAUUAAAAACACAUUACAAUUCUUUUUGAAUCUAUACAAUUUACUCUGAAUGAAAAGCAAAAGUACUACCCUGUAAUACUUUCUGAAAGCUAAAAAGAUGUGAAAAUGAAGAUCCUCAAAUAUCAAAUCCUUAUAUAGUCAAACUGCCAACUAAAGGCAAUUAAUUGAACCAUUCUCCAGAGGUAAUGAAAGUGAAAUGCAGUGUAGAACUUAGAGGUGAUCUGGUGUGUCUGACUGCCCAGAGCUCAAAUUCUGGCUGUGCACUUAUAAGCCAUGUAUCUUUUGGCAAGUUACUUCAUCUAAAUUUCAAUUUCUUAGCUACAAAAUCUGGGAUAAAACACUAUCUCAUAGGGUUGUGACAAGCAAUAGAUAAGAAAAUGCAUGGACAGGGCUUAGAAAGGGCACUGAACACAUAUUUAAGUACUUAACAACCCUGCAAAGCAAGCAGUGUUACACCUAUUUUACAGAUGAUGAAACCAAUCCAUAGUGAGACUGAGACUUGCCCAAAAUACAUUGCUACUAAGCUAUAGCCUCCACAACUCCAAAAUCUUUGCUCUGUCUCCAGACUGCCCUGUUGCUUUGUACUGCUGGAAAUUUGAUAGUGCAUAAGACACAGGCCCUCCCUUCAAAGAUAACACUUUAAAUAAGGAACAAAGUACAGAAUGGACAAUCUGUACAGGUUCUUCAGGUGAACUGCUUAUGAGCGUUUUCACCCAAGUUUGAAGAGCUGGCUUCUAUAGAAGCUUACUGUUAAAUCUGCUCUUGAAGUGUGGGCAGUAAUCAGUCAUGGGCUUGUAUGCGCUAGAAUGAGUCCUAAGCAGAGGAAACAGCAGGUAAAGAGUGGAGAGGAUGCUGUACUUGCAGAAGUACAAAGGCUGUGAGAGUGUAUGAAACAUUGUUACUAAAAUAGGCCACAUGGGCUGUAAUCUGAAAUUUGGAAAAGGAGUGAGGCCUGAUGUUAAAGAGGUAAAGUGAAAGCAGUUUUCUUCAUUAGACAUGGAAACACAAGGAAAAGAAGCAGGGCACAUGCACAUAUGCAAGAGUGUAUAUACUGGUCUCAGUUAGUACCCUUAGGUGUGUGGGCUGGUGCUCACUUGCAUUGAAGUAGGGGUUAAAAUCCUUUUAAAUAUAAUGUAUGCUCCCAGACUGAGGAAGUCAGACGUGUGUAUAGGUAGCAUAUACUUUGCAGAGAAAAUAACCUUAUUAACAAUUGAGAGAAAUAUCCUCUAUUUCCCACUUCCAGGUAUUCUUUCCUAAAGAAACUUAUCUACAUUAGAAUUAUAUGUUCAAAUGCCUUUGUUUCUGUUGGGAAAGAAUCUUCCUGACUUCUUGUGUGAAAAGUUGUAUUUUCAGUGUUUUAUUCUCAAGGCAGUAGACCACUUACAAACUAAGUUAUUCAGUUCCCUACCAAUUAGCUACAAAGAAGUGCUGGUUUAAGGGUCACUUAAACUCUAUGCCUAAAUAGACUGUCUCAAGAUAGAUUACCAGUAGGUUUCCACAGUCAGUACAAAGUUUACUGUUAAAAACAUUUGUUAAAAGGUAAUUAAAAUAUAAACAUAGUUGGGCAUCUUUGCAAGUUUCAGCAUAGUAUGUUUGAAAGACAACUUAGGAAACAGAAAAGGUACUCUACCUAAAGCCUCCCUGUUUUGUUUAUGGAAAGGUUAUUUGUAUGAUUUCAUGUGGAGUAUUUUCAUGUGGAGUAUUGCUGUAUGCAACAUUAAUAUUGGUGUCAGAGACAGUGGAACACGUUUUCAAUUUAACCAAUAAAAUGUAUAUUAAUAUUAAGCACUAGGGAUCCUAUAAGAUGCAGCUGUGCCCACAAAAAAACUUCAUUUUAUGUGGAUACAAGCAUUAAAAUAUCCAGGAUAUGAUAUAAGUGCUCAAACAGAAGUAUGUAUACAACUUAUUAUAGGAGAUUCAAGAGAAGACAUCCUUCAACCUGGAGGGAAAAAAAUGAUAAAUAAGCAGUUCAGUAUGAUUUUUCUUCCCCAGUAACUAGAUAUGGGAGGGCUGAAUCAUUUUAUAUAGGUCAGAAUAACAUAUGAUUAGCACUAACUUGUCUAAUGUUUGAUCUUAAUUCAAAUGAGUGAGAAUGUUAUUGGAAUUUCUAGUUCUCUUAUCUUUUAAAACAACCUGAUUUCCCUUAUAAGUAUUUUAAAAAGCAAAUUAUGUAAUACACACCUGUUUAACUAGAAAUGUUUCUUUAGAUUAUGUAAUAUAUUGUAUUUGAAAAGUCAAGUAUCAAGCUAAAGUAUCAUAUUGUUUCUGAAAACACUAUGAUGUUAUGUGGAUAUUAUACUUUAUAUAAACUAAGACUUUUCUGAGACUCUGAAAGCUCUAAGACAUAAUUCUCUAAAACUGUGGGCAAUUUUUGGUGCCUUGAAAGCAGAAAUGUUUUAUUAUGAAACAGUGAUGUUUUUGUCAUUGUAAUCUGAAUUCUCUAAUUUAUUAUGAAUAAAUUACAACUUUUAAUCUGAGCAGUCUGCACUUUAAAAUAUUUUAAAGGGUUGUCUUUUGGCGAGUCAAUUUGUAUCAAGAAUUUUAUAUUGAUUACUUCCUCUAUUUUUUCACAUAUAGGUGACUUCAGCUUCUAUUAUCAACAAAGCUGUAAAUUUCUCUUGGCUCUUCCAAGCAUUUCUUUAAUUCAUUUAUUUCUUUUCCAGUAUCCUUAAUCUCAAUAAUCAUAUGGCAGUGCCACUGAUUUUGAAGAACAUUAAUGGGAUUACUGGACACGAUAUAUUUCAUUUUAAGAGCUAGUACCGUCUACUUUUCAAAUUGUAGAAGAGAAAAAUAAUGGUGCUAUUUCCAUACUUCAAUAUACAAUGUUAUGUAAAAAUGUAGCAAAUAUACCAAGUUCAUCAAUGCUAUUGCCUCCACCACCACCCCCCUCCCCCACGCUCCUCUUUUCUUUCCUGGUCCUCUCACCUUUAGAAUUUUUCUAGUCAAAAUCAUACUUCUCAUUAUGGUCAGACUUUUUUUUUUUUAAAUAGUACUUUUAAAUUGGGUUGAUAUUGGUUAUACAGAGGAAGGGAGAGAAAAUGUGAUGAUGAAUCUCUCAUUGGUUAUCCAGGCAAAAAUUUGUUUUGAGUUGUUUCAGAUCUCAUUUGCUUUUUGAUGCUUUUAGGAGAAAGUGGUAUCAAAGCAUUUUCCUGCACCACUAAAGAUGGUAAUUAACUUUACACCAUCGCUCUUCAUCAUGGUUCAUUAGUUUGCAAGUUUUUGGCCCUCAGAAACAAACUCUUAGUACUCAUAUCCUGUCUGGGUCCACUAAAUUAUCUUGUACAAAAAGUACAACAAUUUCUUUUAUGAAUAAAAAUGUACAUGGACUGAAUUUUCUUAAGUGUAUUUAUAUAAUUUUUUAGUAAUAAGGGCACUAUGGUAAAAAACAAAUUUAUAUUGAGUAAGUUGCAUGUAUAACUUUUAUUUGCAAAGGAUAAUUUACUAGAACCAACUAACAAUAUUUCUAAAAUUUAUGCAUACAUACACAUUAUAUAUAGACAACAUAAAUUAGCUUUUCUGUUGAAAUUUUCAUGUUAUAAAUAUAUUUUGUGAGAUGAGAAAUUUUGGUAAAAAGACUAGCAUUAUACAUAGUUGUUUUGAUCUAGCUGAAUUGACAGAAAAAGUACUUUUUUACUGAUACUAGGUCAGGUUGAUCUGAUGGGAAAACCAGGAGUUCUAAAAAAUUUAUAGGCGUUGGCAGUUACAUUAAAGUACUGUUCAGUUAAAAGCAGUGACAGUUUAUUUCACAGGUUGCCUGAGUCAAGUGGAACUUGCUGUUUUGAUAUUUUGCCUGACUUUUUUUUUUCCAUCUACAAACAAACUAGUGCCUUGUAGAAAUAAUUUUUAAAUGUAGUCAAACUGAAAUGUACUAAUCUAACCAAUAUAUUUUAUUAACUGGAAUGGUAAUACUUUUUUAGUGGUACUUGCCUAACACUGGGUUUGUGUAUUUCUUCACACAUUCUGUUAAGUGAACACUCGCCAAAGCAAAUAUCUGAAUGAUAUUUAUACCAGAUUGUUUCUAUGUAGGAACACUAUGUUACACUGCUUGCUUCCUUGAAGUAUUUCAGAUUAGAAGUUGUGAAUGUUGAAUACAAAUUUUGGCUACUUUUUUUUUUUAUGCUACUUUAAAGUACAGUUUUCACAGCUGAAAUUUUCUGGUAAAAGGUAAUCACAAACCAGGAUCUAAAUAAAGCACAAUGAUUAUUCAAUUUGUUAAUCAAUUCUAGAUGCUAAUAUAUUAUCAAACAUUAUAAACCAAAUUUUUCUAAGGAAGUGUAUAAAAGUAUUGACCUAAUAAAACAAGAGAAUGUCAAAAUAGUUUAGGCAGGAAUUCUUUUUCAUUUGUUUUGAGUGCUGCUUGCAUUGGGACUUUUUAGUAAAUAUGAAUGGCCUCUGAUCUUGUUCAUUGCUUGGAAUGCUGAGGAAAGAGAGUUACUCAAUCCUUCAGAGAAGGUGGCAGAUGCUAGGCCUGGGUGCUCCAGAAUACCUCUGAAGUGCCAUGAGCUGCAUGUGGAAGGGCCAAGCAGGCAAUUCCUCACUUCCUAUUUAACACACUGUACUCUGGUUAGGAAACUCCUUUAGUAUCUGUUCCACAUAUUUUAAAUUCUGUGUAAGAAUGAGUUUGAGUAAACUGAAUCUGUUCUUAAAAGAAAAUUUAAAAACCUUGGAAUGGCAAUGGGUAAUAAUUAUGAGACAUGUAUCAGGGGGAUAAAAAAGAGGGAAGUGUCUAUAGGGACCCAAAUCUGAAAUGAUGUCACUCUUAGUAGCGGGCACAAGAAAAUCCUACCAAUUGCACUCUAAAAUAAGGAAAUUAAGGGUUUUGGCUUUUUUUUUUUUUUUGGCAAGUAAAACCAUGUUUCCUUUCUCUCUCACUCUCUUAUUUUCCUUUUACUUUGGUUGUAGAUUUUAGUGUUCUAGACAUUUGAACUGCACAAAGAUAACAACAAGUAAAGUUUGGUAGAAAAACUGAUAAUGUGUUUCAGAUGCAAGGACAGGUGGAAGUUGUACUAAAGACUAAGGAUAAACUAGCUGACAGGAAUCAGAAUGAUGAGAUGCUGGACUUUCCAUUGACACUAAUGACACCAAGGAACUAGUUAAUAAGAAUCAGAACAGGAUGCUGGAGUGUUCCACUGACAAUAAUGAACAUCACAUGGUCUAAGACAUUCAGGAAGAUCCUUUGGAAGCCUUAGAUCUUGAAUUGCUCAAGUGAGAAGACAGAAGAAAAGAGAUAGUAUUUGUAGUAAAAGAAAUAACAGGGAUGAAGGAGGGGGAGAAGCAUGUUUACUAAAGAGAAAGAAGAUAAUCUGAACGGAUAGAAAUGUUUGUGUCUGGGGGGAUAUAGCCUUGAAAUGGUACUGGCUCUGGAACUGUAUUAAAGAGAGGCUUGGAAGGCAAGUAGAGUUCACUGAAUUUAAAGUAUACAGAAGGGGCAACAUAGUUCCACCACUGGUACUGAGCAAAGUGCUUUAGGCCCCGGUGACUGGCAUGUUCUGAGCAUUCCAAGCACUUUUCUUUUACUAUCUUAAAUUUUUGAUGAUGGAACAAAAAUUAAUGGUAUAUCACAAAAUACUAGAUUAUUUUUGAAGAUUUAAAAUUACAUAUGCUGUAGUAGACACAAUUGUGUGGGGGAGAAAAAAGCUUCCCUAGAGCACCAAUAACAUAACCCACCUCUUUUAUGUCAGAAUGAUUUAAUAAAUAGAUUUAAUUUUUAUUACCCUUUUAAAAUCAGAAUUUGGAAAACACAUCUCAAAAUUUUGCUUAUGGUAAGCUCUAUUAAUUUGAGAAAUGGUAUUUAAAGUAAAAUACUCUUUAUUAGGGUGAUCCAGAAAUGUUAUUGAUUAUACUAGAAAAGCAAUGGAUAUUACUAAAGAAUUAAAAUUGGGAAAAGAACUUUCUUUAGGAAGAUUUGAGUCAAGUCUGGAGAAGUAUUCUUUUCCAUGUAUAGCUUUUGCUUCUGUUUCUUCAUAUGCAAGACAUGCAGACAAAAUUUUACCUGGUAUGAAUAAAAAAAUAAUAUGAAGAAAGAAUCAGUGGACUGACAAUAACUUUCUAAGAUUAAUUCAAUAAAUGGUAAUGGAAGAAUUAAUAUAAUAUUAAUUUAAAAAUUAAUAAAUUAAAUCAGCAUUUUUUUAAAGUAAAUCAGCAUUCUUUUAAAGUAACAGAUCCUGAUAUAAAAGUUAGAACAGAUCUAAAAUAAUUCUCCAAAAGAAUUCUUAACUUCUAAAUACAUUUCUUCAAUUUCCACACUUUUUAGACCACCCAGUUAAAAUGCUGUUUCUUCUCUUCUUCCCUUUUCUUCUCUUAUGUUCAUUGUCAUUUCUAGGUAGGUGUAUGUUUAUAUUCAUGCAUGUGACAUCAUUGUCCUUACUCAAAUCAGAUACAAAGAAAAGCAUCUUUUCUAAGCAGCAAAACUUUCUGGAUGCGUACUAUAAAAUGUUUGUUGAGGGUGCACAUGAGAGGUCUGUCAAAAGGUUUGUUUGAAUAGUGGUAAUUGGACAAUAUUCUAAUGUGAGUGUCUUCUGUGACUGUAGGGAUUCUGUUUUUCUUAGAUAGACAUGCAUACUUGGAAAGAGCUGCCUUUAAGUCAGACUGUUAGGAAGGGGAGGAGAGAAUAAGGAGAUGGCUAGAGAUCAGAUCACGUCAGGUGGCAAAUGCCUGUAAUCUCAGUGACUCAGGAGGUUGAGACAGAAGGAUUGCCAAGUUCAAGGCCAGCCUUAGCAACUUAGCAAGACCCUGUCACAAAAUAAAAAUAAAAAAAGGCAUGAGGGUUCAGCUCAGUGAUAAAGCACCUUAUGGUUCAAUUCCUAGUACUGGGGGAGGAGGGAACCUAAAAUCUUAAGACAAAGAUGUAUUUCAUAUUGAAAAAUUUUCACAAAAACUCUUUGAAAAAACUAACUAAAAUUUGGAAUUUGUAACUCAUGGAUGAACUAUACGUUUUAUCAACUUGCUCAAUGAGAGGGAUAGUAAAACUGUUAAUUAGAAUACAUUUGACUAUAAGUAACAGAAAAUGCAGGAAUGAAAGCUAGUUUAAAAAUUUUUUAAGUUAAGACAAUGUCAGAUUUGGCUAAUUCAGCAGUUCAAUUAAUUCUUCAUUGAGGUAGGAUCUUUGCAAAUUUCUGUUUUGUCAUUCUUAGCAUCUAGGAUUACCAGACUAAAUAUAAAACAUCCACUUAAAUUUGAAUUUCAGAUAAGCAAUUUAUAAUUUUAAAGGUAUAAGACAUGCAAUAUUUUUUUGUUAUUCAAAAUUCAAAUUUGACAGGGUCCCUACUUUCCUAUUUCUUUAAACUGAGAAACUUAUGAGCAAAUUGUCUUUUUAGGUAAGUUUCCCUCCUGGUCACAAGGUGGCUGCCAUAAGUUUUUGUGUCACAUGUAGAAGCCAACAUUCAGUGGCAUAAAAAGGAUUCUGUUGAUAAAGAUGAAGGUGAAACAGUGGUGGCUUGCAAGGUAAUUAACAAUGUAGGUCACCAAAGCAAAAAUUUUUGUUGACUAAAACAUAGUUCCUCUAAUAUCAGAUACUUUUGUAAGAAGAUGUAAUUUAUCCUGCUUUUUUAUGGGAAAUAGAAAUAAUUUUUAGAUUAAUUAAUUUAUUUAUUAUAUUAGGUAUAUAUGACAACAGAAUGCAUUUUGAUUCAUUGUACUCACUUGCAGCAAAACUUUUCAUUUCUCUGGUUGUACACAAUGUAGCGUUAUACCAUAUGUGCAAACAUGUAACUAGGGUAAUAAUUUCCAUCUCAUUCCACCAUCUUUCCUGCCCAUACCCUUUCUCCCAUCCUCUCCCUCCCCUUUGCCCAAUCACAGUUUCUCCAUUUUUCCCAUGCCCCUCCCCCAUUAUGGAUCAGCAUCCACUUAUGAGAGAACAUACACGGCCUUUGGUUUUUUGGGGAUUGUCUUACUUCAUUUAGCAUAUUCUCCAACUCCAUCCAUUUACAUGCAAAUGCAAAAAAUUUAUUUAUCUUUUAAUGCUGAGUAAUAUUCCAUUGUGUAUACAUACCACAGUUUCUUUAACCAUUAAUCUAUUGAAGUGCAUCUAGUUUGCUUCCACAGUUUAGCUAUUGUGAAUUGAGCUACUAUAAACAUUGAUGUGGUUGUGUUACUAAAGCAUGCUGAUUCUAAUUCCUUUGGGUAUAAACUGAGGAGUGGGAUAGCUGGGUCAAAUGUUGGUUCCAUCCCCAGUUUCCCAAGGAAUCUCCAUACUGCUUUCCAUAUUGACUGCACCAAUUUGCAGUCCACCAGCAAUGUAUGAGUGUGCCUUUUCCCCCACAUCCUCGCCAACACUUAUUGUUGCUUGUACUCUUGACAACUGCCAUUCUGACUGGCAUGAGAUGAAAUCUUUUUUUUUUUUUAAUAUUUAUUUAUUUAUUUAUUUUUAGUUCUCAGCGGACACAACAUCUUUGUUGGUAUGUGGUGCUGAGUAUGGAACCCCGGGCCGCACGCAUGCCAGGCGAGCACGCUACCGCUUGAGCCACAUCCCCAGCCCUUACUAGAGAUGAUGAACAUUCUUUUUUUCAUACAUUUGUUGAUCAAUUGUAUAUCUUUUUCUGAGAAGUGUCUGUUCAGCUUCUUAGCCCAUUUAUUAAUUGGGUUGUUUGUUUUUUGGGUGUUAAGUUUUUUGAGUUCUUUAUAUAUUCUAGAGAUUAGUGCUCUAUCUGAUGUGCAUGUGGCAAAAAUUUGCUCCCCAAAAUGUGGGCUCUCUCUUCACCUCAUUGAUUGUUUCUUUUGCUGAGAAGAAGCUUUUUAGUUUGAAUUCAUCUCAUUUAUUGAUUCUUGAUUUUAUUUCUUGCUUUUUGAUUCAGCGAUAGGAUAUGGAUCAACUGUCAUAUUAUGCAGAGACCUCUGUUCUUUUUGGAUCUGUAAAAAUUGAUAUUUUGUUUCUGAGAACUUUAGCUUUAUUAGAGCUGAGAAAAUCCCCAUAUCACUGCAUCUGAAAUAAUUAAAACAAUUUUUAGUGAAUAUUCUGAACGAGUGGAAGAAGAUGGCUAUCUGUAGAUUCUAUACUAUCUCUAGGGCACACAUUAGGUUGUUCUCCAUGUGGAAGGUUGGUGGUUCUCUCCUCUUUGAGUGGUUCACAUUACCCGUAGCUCAAUUUCCCUUCUCUUUCCACUUGCUCCCUUUCAAAAAUACCCAAUCUUUAGCCCUAUUUGUAUUUAAGUGAUAAUGGUUUUAAAUGAGCUAGAUAAACUAAUCUGUAUUAAUAUUUACUUUGCUAAUGUGUUGGACCUCUGAGGUAAUUUAAGGCUUUAAUCAUUUAAUCAUUCCUAAAGUUCAACCUUUUAAAAGCUCUCCAGGAAUGCUGCCAGAUAGGCACCUUAGGGACAUGGAAAUUUUGGCUUUCCCAUCAUACUCACAGAGGCAGGUGGCUAUAAGAAAGGUUUUCUUCUAUGACUCUUGUCUAGAGUCUGUUCAUUACAUCAGCUUGGUGUCCUAACUUCCCCAUAUUUCACUGCAAACAAUUGGGCUCUACAGUCCUUUUCUCCACCCAUUUCCUGUCUCAUCCUGAGUGAUUCAAACAUGACUUGUAAGGAUGCCCCACCUAACACCUUUAAAUCACAACUUCUUGACCUUCUCUGAUGCACAGGCCUUUUCUUUGGACUUAAGUAUUCACUACCAUGGACCAUAUGCCACCCACAGUGCUACCUAAUUUUCCUAGCAACCCUGUGUCUCCUCAUCUGUCAAACUAGUUCCUUGUGUGAUCGGUGUUUCCUGAAUUUUCCUGGUCAUCAAGAUCACUGGAAUGCUUCAUAAUCACAAGCCCCUCCCUAGAGACAGAUUCAGAGCCCAGGUCUAUCCUUGUCUUGCAGAAACUGCAUGUGUGCCAAAUAGGUAAAAGCAAUUCUAAUGUCUCUACUGAAUCCAGUAGAUUCAUGAAUAUGCUUUCAACAUGUAAUCAAUAUAAAAGUAGUAAUGAGAUAUUGUUACACCCCCAUAGUUACAUUUCCCAUAGUUACACUUCAAAAUCAUACUAUCUUAGAUCUAAAUUCCUACUUCUUUCAACUAUCACUCUUUUUUUAAACAUUUAUCAGACUACCUUAAUGACUUCACAAGAGAUCUAAAAUCUUUCAGAAAAUAGCAAAGGAUCAGUUCUCUGAGCCACUCCACAGGCCUACUUCCUCCAUUCUUGCCCUCCCUCUUCUGUCUAGCCUGCAUCCUAUAAUUUAUCCCAGCAAUUAAGCCCUCAACUUCCUCUGCCUUUCCAACUUCCAUUACACUCAACAUCUGAACUCCUAUCCUAAAUGAAUGAGUCUUUUGCAAUUCAAAACCAAUGUAGUCAAACCUGCUAAAUAAAGCCAUAUAUCAUUGGCAUGUGUCUCCCUAAGAUGCUCAACAACAAGAAGGCAUCAAUUGUGGAGUGGUCAAGAGCAUGGAGCUCAGUUCCCAACUCCACCAUAUAUAUGUGGGGUGCCCAUAGGAAAACAGCAUGACUGCUUCAUACCUCACUGUCUUCACCUGCAAAGGGGAUGAUAAUUUAACAUACCUUUCAGGUUUAUUAGGAAUGAACAAACUAAUGUUUAUAAGGUGCUUAGUUAUAUAAUUGUUGGAUAAAUAAAAGUUCUACCUCUCCUUUGUGGUUCUCUGUUCAUAAUUAGUUACAGCUAUUCCAAAUCUUCAUUCUUUGUAAUUCUCCAAACAGCUCAGGCUCAAUCACUUCAGCAGAUGAUGUGAUCUAAUUCUCAGAAUAAAUGUGUAUAUUUGUGUAUGUAUGUGUACACAUAUACAUACAUGUAGUAGGUAUGAAUUUCUUCAAAUAAUCUCCCUCUGAGAAGCCCCAGGACAUUGGUCUGGGCAAUGACUUUUUUGAAUAUGACUCCCAAAGCACUAGCAAUUAAAGCAAAAUAGACAAAUUAAGUUAUACCAAACUAAAACAUUCUGUAUAGCGAAGGAACCAGUCAACAGAGUGAAGAGACAGAAGAAUACCUAUGAAAAGUAUAUUAUCUGAUAAGUGGUUAAUAUUCAAAAUAUAUAAGAAAAGCAAACAAGCCAAUAGCAAUAAAACAAACUGAUUUAAAAAUGGAAAAAAUAACCUGAACAGACACUUGUCAAAAGAAAAUAAACAAAUGGCCAACAGGUUUAUGGAAAAAGGCCAAAUAUUGGUUAUCAUCUGGGAAAUGCAAAUUAAAACCACAGUGAGAUAUCAUCUCACAGCUGUUAGAAUCACUUUUAUCAAAAAGACAAAAGAUAACAAGUGUUGGUUAUCUUGCACACUGUUGGGGAAAUGUAAAUUUAUACAGUCAUUAUGGAAAAUGGUAUGGAGGUUCCUUGAAAUAGUAAAUAUAGGACUACCAUAUGAACCAGCAACCGAAAUCAAUAUGUUGAAAAGAUAUCUGUGCUCCUAUGUCUAUUGCAGAUUUUCCAUUUCAGACAAUAUGAAAGAACAUGGAGGACAUUAUAUUGAGUGACAUAAGCAAGCCACAGAAAAACAAAUGCUCUACAAUCUCAUCAUAUGUUGAUUCUAAAGCCAUUCAUCUUACAGAAGUAGAAAGUAGAAUGGUGAUGGUAAUAUGCUGUAGUGGUUGGGGUUGGAAAUGUGGAGAUGUUUAUCAAAGGAUACAAACCCAGUUAUUCCACUCCUCAGUCUAUACCCAAAGGACUUAAAAACAGCAUACUACUGGGACACAGUCACAUCAAUGUUUAUAACAGCACAAUUUACAAUAGCUAAACUGUGGAACCAAUUUAGAUGCCCAUCAGUUGAAGAAUGGAUAAAGAAACUGUGGUAUAUAUACACACAAUGGAAUACUAUUCAGAAUUAAAAGGGAAUAAAAUCAUGGCAUUUGCAGGUAAACAGAUUGAGUUGGAGAAUGUAAUGCAAAGUGAAGUUAGCCAAUUCCAAAAAAAAACAAGUACGGAGGUUUUCUCUGAUAUAAGAAUGUUGAUUCAUAAUGAGAUUGGGGAGUAGAGCAUGGGAGGACUAGACAAACUCUAGUUAGAGAAAAGGGGAGGGAGGGAAAGAGAGGGGGCAUGGGAUUAGGAAAGAUGGUGGAAUGAGAUGGACAUCAAUACCCUAAGUACAUGUAUGAAGACACGAAUGGCGUGACUCUACUUUGUGUACAACCAGAGAUAUGAAAAAUUGUGUUCUGUAUGUAUAAUUUGAAUUGUAAUGCAUUCUGCUGGCAUAUAUAACAAAUUAGAAUUAAAAAAAUUAAAAUAAGGAAAUAAGGGCUGAGGACUGCCUAGACUUUGGUGAUUUUUUAUGGUCAUUUAUUUAUAUUAUGGUUUUCCUGCUCUUUUGUUUUAUAUUGGUAAAUUAAUUGUUUAAUUUGAAUACCCCUGCAAUUUCCUGUAUCCCUCUUCUAAAAGAAACAAGCCCACAGAUUUUCACUCUAAUUGAGUCUUCAUUUUUCACCAUCUCAUGGCAAUUAUUGUCAAGGUCGGUAAUAACAUCAUAUUCUGCCACAUUCAGAGGCCAGUUUUUAGUUUCCAUCUUAACUAGCAUCUCAGAAAAUUGGUAAAAUUGAUCAUUACUUACUAUUUAAAACUUUUUUUUUUCUUUUCAAUUACCUUCUGGACACCACUUUGGAGUUUCUCCUUACUUCAUCAGUUGAUUUUUCUCAGCCUCUUUUGCUGGAUUUUGCCUCUAACAUGUGGAGUAUCUUACAAGUUUUUUUUUUUUUUUUUUAGUUUUAGAUACCAUCUAUUUGUUUAUGAGUCCUUAAAAUUUAUGCUAGCACUAGUUUUUCUCCUGAACUCUAUCUUCAUAUUCAACACCUCCACUUGGAUAUCUAAUAAUUCCUUCUAAUUUAACACAGACAACCAACUUUUGUUUCUCCCCAAAAUGCUCCAUUAUAAAUCUCCUCCAUCUCAGUGUUCUUACUCCAGUCUUCUGGUUGCUCAGGUACAAAAAUGUGGAAUCAUUAUGGUCUCCUUCCUUUCUUUUACAUAUUCUUCCAAUCCAUAAGCAAAAAAUCCUACUGGCCUUAUCUUGAAGAUACAUCCAUAAUCCCUACCAUUUCCAGAGCUCUUUCUCUGGUACAAGCCUUCAUUAUUUCAUAAACCUCCUGGGUUUUCUCCCUACUUCUAUCUCUAUCCCAUUAGUCAAUUUUACAAAUAGCAGCCAGAGUUAGUCUUUUAAAACAUGAGUUGGAUCAUGUCAUUCCUUUGCUUAACAUCCUAAAUAACCUCUGCUCUCACAAAUUAAAAGUGACCUAAAAACCCAAUGUGAUAUGCUUCUCUCCUCUCCUCACCCAUGGAGAAUGUGUAAACUUAAAGAUUGAGACACUCAGAAUUAUGACAGUACAGCUGGUAGGAAAAUAAAAGCCAGCGAAGGAGACUGAAAAGUAGGAGAAUCCGGAAAUAUAACAUCAAGAAAGAAAUGAGAGAAGUAGUGAAUACUGCUGACUUUUAUGGAUAAGUAUAAAAUGAGGGCUGGAAAAUAUUCACUGGAAUAUCCUUCCAGAGAAAUGUUUGACACUUACUGCAUGGGGCAAACCAACGUAACUGUGUGAAUGAUGAGCCAUUUUAGAGAGCAUUUAUGAUUGUUGCCUUUGUAGGUUUACAAUAAUUUUUGAGGGGGAAAUAAGAUGUUUGAUCAGGAUCAUAGAGAAAGAUGGAUAUCUGAUAUUAAUGACUUAAAAAUACACAUACCCAGGGGCUGGGGUUGUGGCUCGGUGGUACAGCAUUUGUAUAGCAUGUGUGAGGCACUGGGUUUGAUUCUCAGCACCACAUAAAAAUAAAUAAAUAAAAAUAAAGGUUCAUCCACAACUAAAAAUAACACACACACACACACACACACACACACACACACACACAAUUUAAGCUAAACUUUUAUCAGGAGUUCUAUAUCUGAACGUUUAAGGAUACAUACCUAUCAAUGUCUUACAGCAUAUUUAAGACAUUUAGCAUUCCACUAAUUUCCUUUUUUCUGCCUUGUUUUUCUUACUCUCAAAUUAUUCCCAAAUAACCAAUCUGUAUAAAUUCUCUAUCAUGUUAAAUGACAUCAACACCCAUCCAAUUACCUAAACGAGAACCCAGGCCUUGAUAAGGGCAUUCUGAGUUUUCCUCUUUGUCCAUUUCUAAUCUGUCAAAUCUGAAUGUAGCCCUUUCCCAUUGCUCUAAGGCAGAUUUUAAUCAAAGUAUCCACCACCCACAUGCUAAUAAGUUCCUAAAUGGUUCCUUUAUUUGUUGCUUCCUAACUCUUUAACUACACAGUUAACUAGUUAUCUUACAACAGAGUACUUCAGUUAAAAACUGAAAAUUGAUUCUGACUUCCACUGGCAAUAAGACAGUCCCUUAGAACAGCAUACUAAGACCUUUGAAAACUGGCCCUCACCUACCUUUCCAACCUCAAUGAUAAUAGCAAUUAUGAUAGUUCCCUGCUUGUCUUAAAAUAUUCAAACUGUAGUACAUUGUAGGGGGUCAUUCACAUACUUCCCUGUACUUCUAGUUCUGAACUAAAUAAAUAGCUAGAGCUUUUGAAGUUCAAGUACCCCACCCUCAAAAUGUGAAUACAAUUUCAAAAAGUUUGGAAAGAGCCAUAAUGUUACACUUUAACGGAAUAUCUUUGUACAUUUCCCUUCUAAUAGUCUUCUAGGAGUGGUCUUAUUCUCAUAGUGAAUGUGUUUUUGCAUAUUUCCCCAUAUAUUUGACUUAGCUAUUCCUUGCUGUGUUACAGAAAAAGGUUAUAAAAAGAACAUUUUUUUUUUUUGAGAAAAAAUGGAAGUCGAAAUUUAAGGAAAGAAAAAAAAAAAACAAGGGUGGGGACAAAAUAGAGCUAUGAAUAAGGUUCAAGACGCAUACCAUGAUGACCUACUCAUCUGUCAUGGAUGAGCCACAUACUGGCUCUCAAGUUUUCCAGCAGCCAAUGUAAAACUAGAAAUUUUGUCAGUUAUGUAGUUUCUAGUGCCCAUGACAUUAAAAAAUAUCCUGGUAAUUUCAGCUGUUCUUGGAACAUAUAUUAUAAGGAGAAAUUUCUCCUUAACUUCUCCUAAAGAGAAUACAGGGUGACAUUCUUCAAGUUUGGGAAGACUCCUUAUUAGACACAGUGCCUUCUCAUUUCAUAUCAUUGCUUAUAUUGAGAACUGUUGUAGGCAGGUGCCACUGCAUAAAUCACAGAGUGAUUGGGUAAAAACUGACUCUCUGGAAAUCACUGGAUAUUUUCAAGGCACUCAGAUCAUUUCUGGUCUGCUAUAAGUCAUGGGUAAAUGUUAAAAUAUUGAAAUAAAUAUAAGACAUAUUCAGUAGUCAUAAUAGUAGCUGAAUUUGUGUCCUUUAGAAAAACAUUCUGAAUAUUGUUUCUACUCAAGUUAAAGGUUUCCUCUUUUAAUUAUUAUUUCAGUUGUACAACAUUAUGGGGUACAGGGUGAUAAUUGGAUAUAUGUAGACAGUGUGUAAUGAUGGAAUCAGGACAGUUAACAUUUCCCUCUCUUAAAUUUGAACAUUUAAGUUAGAGUUUAAAUAGUUCUUAGUUAAAAUCUUAAAAGUUUGGGUCCCAUAUAUGUCAGUUGAGGUUUGUUUGGAAGUCAGAUUUUAGUCUGAGAAGCCAAAUUCCUCACUUUCUUAUCAUGAGCAGUAUUCCCCUUGGGCAAGUCUUCUAAGUUCAAGAAUGUGGCUGGACCAGGGGUGUUACAGUCUUGAGCUUUUCCUAUAGUAGAAAAUAAUAUGCUGUCCUAGAACACUCAAACACAAGUUGAAUAACAUAUUCAGGUUUGUAGAAAUUCUGUUCCCAGUCUUGUAUGCUCUGCAGAAAUAUGGCAGGACGGAACUCUGAAUUUUGGAUCUGAAGUAUCAACUUUAGUGAGAAAUUUUAAUAUUACAUGUUAAAAACCUAGAUCUUUAUUUUUCGUUUUCUGAGUGAGAAGAUUAGAUAAAAUAAAGGCAGUUUUAAUAUUUUGGCCUUUAUCAAUGUUCGUAGGGCUACUGAGAAAUCUAGUUUAUACAAAAGGAACAUUCUCCUGACUAUCACUUAUCUUAGACUUGCACAUAUAUUUUCUCUGCUGAAAUGUACAUAGCUUAUUUAGCCACAUGGUUGCAUUUUAAAAAUAUUUUAAACAACAAUGUAAAUAUCUCAAGGCAUAGCUAAUCAUUUGGUAAGAAUAGGUCUAUUACAGUUCUUCCCAGAGAUGCAGGGGAACAGGAUGACUGCUUGGUUGUUGAAUGGAUAUCUCUCUAUAUCUACUGCAAACGGAUUUAUCAAAUAAUCUGCUUAUAAAUAGAGGCUUGUGGUAUUUUGUGGUAUUGUAUGAAGAUACCUGGUAAAUUUUAUCCAAAUCGCUGCAAUGGGCACCAGUAUAACAGAUAUCAGAAUUAUCAUACUUCUUUCUCUACCACUGCCACACCAUGCCACUUCUCACUCCUACAGUCCUUAAAAUGGUGAUAUAAGGUUUAGCAAGAAGCUAUGUUUUCCCUAUUGGUUUUAACUCUGGACACAGCUGCUUUAAAGAGUAUCACCACAUGAUUAAACUUGCGUAGUCAAGGGCCUGGUAAGAACUGAAGUUUUCAAAUGACAUUGAAAACUUGACAUAUGCUAAUUGCUAGACUUAUAUAUAAAUAUAAAAUUAUAUUUGUUCUAAUUGCUAUAUUUUAAAGGGAAUAUUCUCUUUUAUGAUUUUGAUUAUAUAAUCACCAGAGUGAAUAUUUUUAUUCAUAGCAUUUUCUUCUACUAUAUGAGAUAAACAGUAAAGGUUGCAGCAUAAUUUAUGGUGAUAGUAAAAGAAAAACUAACUACAUUAUAGGAAGAAAGAAUGAGAAAAGAAAAGAAAACAUAAGCAAAGUGGAAAAAAGGAAGAAGAGGAAUGAGAUGAACACUCAGAAAGGCCAUAGUGUAGGAUAGUACUAUUUGGGUCAUUAUCAUAACACCAAAACUUUACAGAAUCUACCACAGUGUUAGAACUCAACAAAUGUGCUGAAUAUUGAAAAAUGAAGAAAUAAAUGUUUUAUAUAAAUUUACAUAUAUACAGAUACACAUAUGUAUAUACACACACACACACACACACAUACACACACACAAUGAGCAGAAAUAAGUUCAUGCUGCUAUCCUAUACAUCCAUAAACUAGAUUUGGACCCAGAUAAGAAUGGAUGUAUUAGAUUUGUAAUUUCUUUUAAUUUGUUAAGAACAGAGUGGAGGCAUGUCUACAUUUAACAAGAACUCUCAUGAUUACAGACCAACAGAUAUUCUGGAAACUCUGAAAAAUCCUUUUCAAUGAUUAUUGCAAAUAUUCUGAAAGUAUGUGCUCGAUAUAAACAAUUCUGGCCCAUCAUAUCACUUGCUAUUAGUUGAUUUAUGCUUUGAAAUCUGUUUUGCAGCAAUGUCUGCUCAUACCAGCUUUCUCUAAAAAUCACAUGAGAAAUGUGUAUGAUUUCCUGAUAUGUUCAAAUUAAAGUAUUAAAAUAUUUAUAAUUGUUACCCAAAGCUUCCUGUGUGGUAGAUAAGGAAGCACACUAAACUGCUGAUAGGGAUUUUUGUCCUUAACCAAUUCUGUCACUAUUUGGCUGUUGACCUUGGGCAGGCUACUUAAACUUUCUGAGCUCAAUAUUCCUCCCCUAUAAAAUAAGGGAGUUAUAGUAGAUAAGUCUCUCCUUAGGAUCCCAUUGACUUACAAGUGCCACUGAUUCUCUCCCCAUUAUCCCUAAGUGAGGAAUCCCAAUACUCUCAGUAUGCUGAGAUGGAGCAACUGCUGAAGUCUGAGGCCUGAAGUGCCAUGAGACAGUUGCACAUGGUAGGCAAGGACAGAGUCUUUGCAGGGGAAGAGGCUUGGUGUGUGACCUGGGGCAAGUAUUAGCCUCUCAGAAAUUCAAUUUCCCUAUCUAGAAAGUGAGAGUAAGACAAGUUCUUAUAGAGGCUCUGUAUUAAAGAAGAUAGUAUAAAUUCUAGCCCUAAUUAUGGUAACUGGCACAAAGAAGUACCCAAUUAAAAGCAUCCAUUUUUUUAACAUUGUUAUUUUCUUGGCUCCAUUGAAACAACUGCUUUUAGUAAUGCUUCUCCCAACUGAUUAUCACAUUAUUUUAAUGAAUUAUGGUAUUUAAAGGGUUUUAAGGUGCCAAAUUGGAAUUACUUGUUUAAACAAAAAAAAAAGAGGGAAAGUCAUGGGCUCAGGGAAUCUCUAAAAUUAGGCAGAGAUAGCCUGUGUGCUAACCUUUACCCCAUGGCUCCUUCAUUUAAUAACAAAGUAUUAAUAAGUACAACUUUAAGUUGUUUGAUGAGUACUUGUAUAAUCUAGGUCAACUAUGCUACUUAUACAAACUUUCAUGCCCCAGAGACAUUUGAUAGUAAUGUGCUUGACAUUUUAGUUUGACAUACAAUUAUAGGAAAAUUCUUGGUCUUAGUUCUUAAUAUCAAUAGAUAUUAACUCCCUUUAACUUUGUCAUAUAUGUAAAUUUCAUUUAAAUACACAUAAAUGAGGUAAAAUCAUUCCUAGAUGAGACAGAUACAUUUUGAAGGCUGUAUACAUUCUUAUUUUAUAAUUAAUAAAACAAUUACUUAAGAACACACACAUGAUGGACAAAAAUUCCAUCAUGUCCAAUGAUGGACAAAAAUUCCCCCAAAUGUGGGAAACAGAGUAUUUUGCUUUGCUUUUAACUAUGACAGGAAAUAUCUGUUUGUUUAUUUUGACCCUUGUACUUCCAUAGCCAGAUUAAAUUUCAAACAGAGUUUUCAUCCUCUUUACCAACAAUUGUCACCCUGCCUUGUGGAAACUCAUGGUUUGCAGGGAGUUCAAGAAUAUUUGCACAACUUGGGGAUGGACUUUUUGUGUACAGGGGACUCUUCUAACCAUAGGGCCCCCUACAGUAUGUUAAUUGGUUCACAACAAUAUUCUGGGUCAACCUGUGUUAAAGAUGAUUUUAAAGCCUAUCAAAUUUUAUAGCAAGAGUUUUGAGUUAGCAUUAUAUGUUUAAGAAUGUCUCCUUGAUUCUCAAUUUCUUCUCAUUCAGGAGAUAUGAGCCUCAACUGAC
rnacentral:lncRNA from 1 species